rnacentral:rRNA from 1 species
UGGGGAAUUUUGGACAAUGGGCGAAAGCCUGAUCCAGCAAUGCCGCGUGUGUGAAGAAGGCCUUCGGGUUGUAAAGCACUUUUGUCCGGAAAGAAAUCCUUGGCUCUAAUACAGUCGGGGGAUGACGGUACCGGAAGAAUAAGCACCGGCUAACUACGUGCCAGCAGCCGCGGUAAUACGUAGGGUGCAAGCGUUAAUCGGAAUUACUGGGCGUAAAGCGUGCGCAGGCGGUUUGCUAAGACCGAUGUGAAAUCCCCGGGCUCAACCUGGGAACUGCAUUGGUGACUGGCAGGCUAGAGUAUGGCAGAGGGGGGUAGAAUUCCACGUGUAGCAGUGAAAUGCGUAGAGAUGUGGAGGAAUACCGAUGGCGAAGGCAGCCCCCUGGGCCAAUACUGACGCUCAUGCACGAAAAGCGUGGGGAGCAAAACAGGAUUAGAUACCCUGGUAGUCCACGCCCUAAACGAUGUCAACUAGUUGUUGGGGAUUCAUUUCCUUAGUAACGUAGCUAACGCGUGAAGUUGACCGCCUGGGGAGUACGGUCGCAAGAUUAAAACUUAAAGGAAUUGAC